AACUUCUCGCGGGAAGACAAAACACAACGGUUUCCCCGGUCGUUUUUAUCUCCGGCCGACACCCGUCGGGCCCGGGCAAAGCUCAAAACGCCAAAAACUUUGGCGAGAAAUCGCAUUAUUUUAUUGCGUCGUCCGUCUCGUACAAUAAUGUAAUAUCGUUACGAGUAUAUCGCGUGCGCGUGCAACUUUUUCUUUUUUCCCGAAUAAAUCGCGCCGAGACCACUUUGGUAUAAUUAUAUUAUUACUUCCCGAUCGACCGGCCCUUUCGACCGGAACUUAGCUUUUCGCGUGACCGUAUUAGGACGCGGCCAUAGUAUUCCGAGUAAUAUGGUCAGUGGCGGACUGUGCCACCAGUAAGCCGGGAAGUUUCGCGGUGGGCCGGAACUCGGUCGCGACUCAAUGGACCGGCCCCAGCAUUAUAAAAUUCAAUUUAGACUUAAAAUAAUUCAUUUUUCAUUCACACAAAUAUUUGCGUUGUCUACAACAUAUUGCGCAUGCGUAAUUGACAACCAGGAUA